CAGAAAAUAGUAUAUAUAGUACCAUGAUUUUGGAGAUCAUAAGAGAAGACAACCCCUUUUCUGA
rnacentral:tRNA from 1 species